GCGUCUCCGGUCUGGUGGACCGCGGCGGCUCCCAGCCGCCGGUAGAAGCUCAUGGCGCCGGCGUUGCUCGCGCUGGCGACCCA
rnacentral:tRNA from 1 species